CAGGGAGACAACACAAUGAUUUUGAUGCCUGAGUGCUUUUAUUCUUAGGCCGAAAUCCUGUCACCUUAGGUCGAUCGGUACCUCAGCUUUGAAGUCAAGGAUCAGCAGCAAUGUUGAUUGCUUGAUGGAGAUUUUCAGUUCCUAAACUUUGUCUAGGUCACACCCCAAAAGGGAUGAGACUCCUGGGCCAUUAGCUCAGGUGGUUAGAGCGCACCCCUGAUAAGGGUGAGGUCCCUGGUUCAAGUCCAGGAUGGCCCAUUCGGUGUUGGGGGUUUAGCUCAGUUGGUAGAGCGCCUGCUUUGCAAGCAGGAUGUCAGGAGUUCGAGUCUCCUAACCUCCACUGACCGAACUUGAUUCCCAUCUCCAAUUUUUUGGAGUUGAGCUCGAUUGGAGUGUGAUUUAGAUGUGUCCGCUGGAUGACCCCAGCUUCCUGUCAUUCCAAGUUUUAGGUUAAAGCCUUGAAUUUGGUUGAUAAGAUGCUGGGCUCGGAUCAAAUGAUCAAGCAAUUGAUGAUUUGAUUUGAAGUUCUAGCAGAACCUUGACAACUGCAUAGGUGAGUCUGGAAAAAACAAAGCAUCUUACAGAUGCAUUGUUUUGAAUCUGAUCUUCUGAAAGGGAGAUUGGAUCUAGAACAAUGAAAAUUCUUUUGAGCAAGAGCCGAGACUCUUGAGCGUUCUUUGAUUGGUGUCGAGCCAAUCAGAGUUUGAUCUUGUUUUUAGCAAUAAAAACUUGAGAAUCUGCUUUCAACGGCGGUAAGCGUUUAAGAGGUUAAUU
rnacentral:tRNA from 1 species